UACCAGUAUUUCUGGGUGGGUUUCAUUGUAGAGAGAGAUCCUCCUCCUCCAAGAUUUCGGAUUUCAUGGAUAAUGGGGAUUUUGAUGGAGCUUGAAGCCAUGGGAGCUUGAAGUAAGCCUUCCCCUUCGUUCUAGGUGUGCCUAGGGACUGUGAACGUUUGGAUUCUCGUGGAGCAAGAUAAGUAGCUUGUUCUUCAAGUAAGCAAUUGUAAAGGUCCGAGAGGUGCCCAGAUUUUUCGUGAGACCUCACUAGACAGGGACGCGAACCGUGGUUGAGGCGUUGGGGACUGAUCAGUUUUUGAGUAGCUGUAGGCUACUACCCCUUUUGGAGUGCAUGUAUAUUAUUUCGUAUCUCCGCAUUUGAUGGAUCAUGAUGUUGAAUCCAUUUACU